UAACCGUGGUAAUUCUAGAGCUAAUACAUGCUAAAAAUCCCGACUUCGGAAGGGAUGUAUUUAUUAGAUUAAAAACCAAUGCCCUCUGGGCUCUCUGGUGAUUCAUGAUAACUUCUCGAAUCGCAUGGCCUUGCGCCGGCGAUGGUUCAUUCAAAUUUCUUCCCUAUCAACUUUCGAUGUUUGGGUAGUGGCCAAACAUGGUUGCAACGGGUAACGGAGGGUUAGGGCUCGACCCCGGAGAAGGAGCCUGAGAAACGGCUACUACAUCCAAGGAAGGMAGCAGGMGCGCAAAUUACCCAAUCCCGAUUCGGGGAGGUAGUGACAAUAAAUACUGAUACAGGGCUCUUUUGGGUCUUGUAAUUGGAAUGAGUACAAUUUAAAUCCCUUAACGRGGAACAAUUGGGAGGGCAAGUCUGGUGCCAGCAGCCGMGGUAAUUCCAGCUCCAAUAGCGUAUAUUAAAGUUGUUGUGGKUAAAAAGCUCGUAGUUGAACCUUGGGCCURGCUGGGCGGUCC
rnacentral:rRNA from 1 species